rnacentral:rRNA from 1 species
UUUUAUUUUAAAAAAUCGUAACAAGGUCUCCGUUGGUGAACCAGCGGAGGGAUCAUUACCGAGUUUACAACUCCCAAACCCAAUGUGAACCAUACCAAACUGUUGCCUCGGCGGGGUCACGCCCCGGGUGCGUCGCAGCCCCGGAACCAGGCGCCCGCCGGAGGGACCAACCAAACUCUUUACUGUAGUCCCCUCGCGGACGUUAUUUCUUACAGCUCUGAGCAAAAAUUCAAAAUGAAUCAAAACUUUCAACAACGGAUCUCUUGGUUCUGGCAUCGAUGAAGAACGCAGCGAAAUGCGAUAAGUAAUGUGAAUUGCAGAAUUCAGUGAAUCAUCGAAUCUUUGAACGCACAUUGCGCCCGCCAGUAUUCUGGCGGGCAUGCCUGUCCGAGCGUCAUUUCAACCCUCGAACCCCUCCGGGGGGUCGGCGUUGGGGAUCGGGAACCCCUCAGACGGGAUCCCGGCCCCGAAAUACAGUGGCGGUCUCGCCGCAGCCUCUCCUGCGCAGUAGUUUGCACAACUCGCACCGGGAGCGCGGCGCGUCCACGUCCGUAAAACACCCAACUUCUGAAAUGUUGACCUCGGAUCAGGAGAAAUUA